rnacentral:rRNA from 1 species
UGCCUCAGUAACGGCGAGUGAAGCGGCAACAGCUCAAAUUUGAAAUCUGGCCCCAGGCCCGAGUUGUAAUUUGCAGAGGAUGCUUUUGGUGCGGUGCCUUCCAAGUUCCCUAGAACGGGACGCCAGAGAGGGUGAGAGCCCCGUACAGUUGGACACCAAGCCUUUGUAAAGCUCCUUCGACGAGUCGAGUAGUUUGGGAAUGCUGCUCAAAAUGGGAGGUAUAUUUCUUCUAAAGCUAAAUACCGGCCAGAGACCGAUAGCGCACAAGUAGAGUGAUCGAAAGAUGAAAAGCACUUUGAAAAGAGGGUUAAACAGCACGUGAAAUUGUUAAAAGGGAAGCGCUUGUGACCAGACUUGCGUCCGGUGAAUCACCCAGCUCUCGCGGCUGGGGCACUUCGCCGGCUCAGGCCAGCAUCAGCUCGCUGUCGGGGACAAAAGCUUCAGGAACGUAGCUCUCUUCGGGGAGUGUUAUAGCCUGUUGCACAAUACCCUUCGGCGGGCUGAGGUACGCGCUCCGCAAGGAUGCUGGCAUAAUGGUCAUCAGCGACCCGUCUUGAAACACGGACCAAGGAGUCAACCUUAUGUGCGAGUGUUCGGGUGUCAAACCCCUACGCGUAAUGAAAGUGAACGCAGGUGAGAGCUUCGGCGCAUCAUCGACCGAUCCUGAUGUUCUCGGAUGGAUUUGAGUAAGAGCAUAUAGGGUUGGACCCGAAAGAAGGUGAACUAUGCGUGUAUAGGGUGAAGCCAGAGGAAACUCUGGUGGAGGCUCGCAGCGGUUCUGACGUGCAAAUCGAUCGUCAAAUAUGCGCAUGGGGGCGAAAGA